UUUACAUUUAGCAACGAGUGGGAUUUAAGUGCGGUUUAAAUAAAAUCUGGUGAAAUUUGUGAUUGUAUAAGCUGUUUUGAAAAAAAGAAAAACAAAAAUGUUCAUUAUAGUUUAAAUUUGGAUUUUUCUACAUGAAUACGUUUCACUUAUGAUGCAUAUUUUAACAGCAGAAGUGGAACACCAGAUUCAUUCCAUAUCAGUGAUAAUUCUAUAGAUGCAUCAGCUGGAUUGGUGUAUGGUGUAAAAAGAUUGCGUGGAUAUCAUUGUUCAGAUUGCACUUACACUACACUUGAUUCAAGUCAUUUUAAAAGGCAUGUUAUUAUUCAUACUGGAGAACGUCCAUUUACAUGCAACUUGUGCAGCAGAAGUUUCAAUCGAAAGGAUAAUCUUCGAACUCAUUUAAUACUGGUGCAUUCAUUAGGAAGGUCUUAUGUAUGUGAAAUAUGUAAUCGUUCUUUUCGAAGUGUACCUUCAUUAAAAGCUCACAAAAUGAAUUGUGGCUGAUUAAUAAUUAUUAAAUUGUCAUGGUUCUGUCAAUUUCAGGGAUAUGUGGCAAAGUGAUAGAAAUAUUUUAUACAUUCAUUUUUAAGAAAGUGGAAAUUUAUUUAUACAGUAGCACCCUAGUUAACUCAAGCUUCAGCUGUAUGGAUUGCUUCUUCUGGUUUCUUGGUGUAGUAAAAUUAUGUUUAUCAUUAAUUUGUAUAUAUGUUCGCAAUUUUUCCAUUGCUUUGAGUAACAUAAAAUGACUGUAUAAUAAAAUGUGUAUCUUUCUAUAAAUUACAACUAGAACUGCAUUUUAAGAACAUCAUCACUGAAAGCAAUGUGCAGAAAUGUUGCAUUGAUAAUUCAAUAAUAAUACAGUACAAAGUCUGAAAUCUGGACUGGUUGGGACUUGGGCUAUUCCGUAUUUGGGAUUUUUCCGGAUAAUAGAUCAUCAAUUUAAAUCUGGUAAGAUGGCAUGCAGAAAUUAUACAAUUAAAAAUAUGAAAUCAUAAUUUAUGAAAUAAACAACAAUUAUGAUCUAAAGAGUA
rnacentral:lncRNA from 1 species